rnacentral:rRNA from 1 species
GAUUCCCCCAGUAGCGGCGAGCGAACGGGGAGCAGCCCAGAGCCUGAAUCAGUGUGUGUGUUAGUGGAAGCGUCUGGAAAGGCGUGCGAUACAGGGUGACAGCCCCGUACACAAAAAUGCACAUAUUGUGAGCUCGAUGAGUAGGGCGGGACACGUGGUAUCCUGUCUGAAUAUGGGGGGACCAUCCUCCAAGGCUAAAUACUCCUGACUGACCGAUAGUGAACCAGUACCGUGAGGGAAAGGCGAAAAGAACCCCGGCGAGGGGAGUGAAAAAGAACCUGAAACCGUGUACGUACAAGCAGUGGGAGCACGCUUAGGCGUGUGACUGCGUACCUUUUGUAUAAUGGGUCAGCGACUUAUAUUCUGUAGCAAGGUUAACCGAAUAGGGGAGCCGAAGGGAAACCGAGUCUUAACUGGGCGUUAAGUUGCAGGGUAUAGACCCGAAACCCGGUGAUCUAGCCAUGGGCAGGUUGAAGGUUGGGUAACACUAACUGGAGGACCGAACCGACUAAUGUUGAAAAAUUAGCGGAUGACUUGUGGCUGGGGGUGAAAGGCCAAUCAAACCGGGAGAUAGCUGGUUCUCCCCGAAAGCUAUUUAGGUAGCGCCUCGUGAAUUCAUCUCCGGGGGUAGAGCACUGUUUCGGCAAGGGGGUCAUCCCGACUUACCAACCCGAUGCAAACUGCGAAUACC